rnacentral:rRNA from 1 species
CAGCCGCCACGGGAAUACGGAGGGUGCAAGCGUUAUCCGGAUUUAUUGGGUUUAAAGGGUCCGUAGGCGGAUCUGUAAGUCAGUGGUGAAAUCUCACAGCUUAACUGUGAAACUGCCAUUGAUACUGCAGGUCUUGAGUAAAUUUGAAGUGGCUGGAAUAAGUAGUGUAGCGGUGAAAUGCAUAGAUAUUACUUAGAACACCAAUUGCGAAGGCAGGUCACUAAUAUUCAACUGACGCUGAUGGACGAAAGCGUGGGGAGCGAACAGGAUUAGAUACCCCGGUAGUCCCUGUCUCUUAUAC